UACAGAGGGGGCGAGCGUUGUUCGGAAUUACUGGGCGUAAAGGGCGCGUAGGCGGCCUGCUAAGUCGGACGUGAAAUCCCUCGGCUCAACCGGGGAACUGCGUCUGAUACUGGAUGGCUUGAGGUUGGGAGAGGGAUGCGGAAUUCCAGGUGUAGCGGUGAAAUGCGUAGAUAUUGGGAGGAACACCAGUGGCGAAGGCGGCUCACUGGACCGGUACUGACGCUGAGGCGCGAAAGCGUGGGGAGCAAACAGG
rnacentral:rRNA from 1 species